UUGACUAAGGCCGGCGAUCGUGUGUAUAAAAGAAAUAAGAAACAGCCAGUCACCAACAACCUGCCCUCGCCAUCAUCACAGAAUUAAUUUACAAAUAAUUAGUUUAUUUUUUGUUAUGAUCACAAAAGUAAUAAAAUUAUUUAAAAGGG